GUCCAGCCAACGAGUCCCAAAUAGAGCGAAACACGCGUCCUGGAU
rfam:Schistosoma curassoni strain Dakar, Senegal genome assembly, scaffold: SCTD_scaffold0004894